rnacentral:rRNA from 1 species
AGAACGAACGCUGGCGGCAUGCCUAAUACAUGCAAGUCGAACGAAGGCUUCGGCCUUAGUGGCGCACGGGUGCGUAACGCGUGGGAAUCUGCCCCUUGGUUCGGAAUAACAGUUGGAAACGACUGCUAAUACCGGAUGAUGACGUAAGUCCAAAGAUUUAAUCGUCCCAGGGACUGAGCCCGCGUAGGAUUAGCUAGUGGUGGGUAAAGG